rnacentral:rRNA from 1 species
AUAGCGUAUAUUAAAGUUGUUGCAGUUAAAAAGCUCGUAGUUGAAUUUCGGGAUUGACACAUCGGUCGUGCCUUAAGGGGUAUGAACUGGUGUAGUCAAUUUCUCACCUUCUGGAGAACCGCGAUGCCCUUAAUUGGGUGUCGCGGGGAACCAGGACCUUUACUUUGAAAAAAUUAGAGUGUUUAAAGCAGGCAUUUUGCUUGAAUACAUUAGCAUGGAAUAAUAAAAUAGGACGUGCGGUUCUAUUUUGUUGGUUUCUAGGAUCGCCGUAAUGAUUAAUAGGGACGGUUGGGGGCAUUAGUAUUCAGUUGCUAGAGGUGAAAUUCUUAGAUUUACUGAAGACUAACUACUG